UACGUAGGGGGCUAGCGUUGUCCGGAAUCAUUGGGCGUAAAGCGCGCGUAGGCGGCCAGAUAAGUCCGGUGUGAAAGCCACAGGCUCAACCUGUGAAUGCCGCUGGAAACUGUCUGGCUAGAGUCCGGGAGGGGCGAGUGGAAUUCCUGGUGUAGCGGUGAAAUGCGCAGAUAUCAGGAAGAACACCCGUGGCGAAGGCGGUUCUCUGGGACGGUACUGACGCUGAGACGCGAAAGCGUGGGGAGCGAACAGG
rnacentral:rRNA from 1 species